CUGCAUGGCUGUCGUCAGCCCGUGUCGUGAGAUGUUGGGUUAAGUCCGUAACGUAGCGCAACCCUUGUCCUUAGUUACCAGCACGUUAUGGUGGGCACUCUAAGGAGACUGCCGGUGACAAACCGGAGGAAGGUGGGGAUGACGUCAAGUCAUCAUGGCCCUUACGGCCUGGGCUACACACGUGCUACAAUGGUCGGUACAAAGGGUUGCCAAGCCGCGAGGUGGAGCUAAUCCCAUAAAACCGAUCGUAGUCCGGAUCGCAGUCUGCAACUCGACUGCGUGAAGUCGGAAUCGCUAGUAAUCGUGAAUCAGAAUGUCACGGUGAAUACGUUCCCGGGCCUU
rnacentral:rRNA from 1 species